UACGUAGGGUGCAAGCGUUAUCCGGAAUUAUUGGGCGUAAAGAGCUCGUAGGCGGUUUGUCGCGUCUGCUGUGAAAACUGGAGGCUCAACCUCCAGCCUGCAGUCGAUACGGGCAGACUUGAGUUCGGUAGGGGAGACUGGAAUUCCUGGUGUAGCGGUGAAAUGCGCAGAUAUCAGGAGGAACACCGGUGGCGAAGGCGGGUCUCUGGGCAGUAACUGACGCUGAGGAGCGAAAGCGUGGGGAGCGAACAGG
rnacentral:rRNA from 1 species